AGGGGCAUAGUUUAACGGUAGAACGAAGGUCUCCAAAACCUUUGGUGCGGGUUCGAUUCCUGCUGCCCCUGCCA
rnacentral:tRNA from 5 species